ACAACCGGCCUUACCCCAUAUUAUUGAUCAUCCUUAUGCGGGGAAAAACCCUCAAGCUCACAACUUCACAAGAGAAUGGAAGCAGACAACAGAUAUAGCCCGGGC